GUUAAAAAUAAAUAAAUGAAGAUUUCGCCUCGCGUCGCGGCGAUGACGUCAUCACCCGCGCGCUCACAACAACAGCCAGCGGCGAGUCUCGUGAGGCGAACAGUUCGCGAUUCUUCACGUGUUUACAUUAUUGUAAAGGACACUUAACCGUUAUUUAAGCAACAUUCAAAGAGCUCACAAGCAUUAAAUCAUCAUGAAGAAGAUAAAUCUGAAGAGACAGAGUUUACUGAAGAACAGAGAGAACAUGAGAGAUCUAGAACCCUGCAGAACCAAACACACUGAAGAACAAACGGCUUGUGUUUAUUCUUCAUCCUUCAGUAAUGAGGCUGAAGAACAAAGUUAUCAGCAGUUCAACAGAUUUAGGGUUUAUAUAAAUAAUAAUAUAAUAAUAAGUUUAAUCAAUAAAUAAUAUAGGCCAUACUUUCUCUCUCAGCGUACAGAAUAGCCACUGAAACGCUAAUUAUAUCCUGAUUGUGGUUAAGUGAAAAAUAUUGGUCAGUUAAUGAAUUAGUUUAAAACAGUUAUUAAUUAUCUAAUACAUUUUUAGUAUAGAUUAUUAGUAUUAAUAUUGUAUUUAUAAUAUGAUAUUACAUUUUUGUAGUUAAUCAAACAUCAUAUAGAUAUCAAUACAGAAACACUGGAUUUAUAUCUGUUUUUUUUUGGGGGGGGGGGGGUAUAGAUCAUUGAAUCAUUUUGUAAAAGUCUGUGAAAAUUAUUAUAAUGUUCUGUAGCCAUAGUCAACUUUUGCAUCAUAUUUCUAAAACUUAGGAAAAAAUUAUUUAUAAUGUAAGUAAAAAAAAUUUUACUUUAAUUUUAGAUCUGAUCGAGAAGAAACAUGUCAAAACUGGAGAAAAAUCUCUCACAGAGACUGAAAGAGUUUCUUUACUGAAGAGAAGAAACAAGAAAGUUUUACCUGCUCUCAGUGAGGAAAGAGUUUGACAUACAAACACAACCUCAGUGUUCACAUGAGGAUCCACACGGGAGAGAAACCGUACAAGUGUUCACACUGUGACAAGAGAUUCAGUCGGUCAGGAGACCUGAAAUCACACGAGAGGAUUCACUCUGGAGAGAAACCGUAUCACUGCUCUGCAUGUGGUGUAUUCCAGAAAGGAGGUUCAACAAACUCAGAGUUGAGGCGUCUACCAAAGCUUUGCUAAUGGGUAAUAAACUUAUUCCCCUUGGCAAAUGUACUUGAAAAGUCUUGGUUCCCUGCAUCACGAAUCGGGUGAGCUGGAAGUUUCCACAGAGUUGAAAUUUGCUCAGACUAAUGUGCGGUCACCUGCAAGCAAACAUUUAAUCUUAAAGGAUUUCUUUGAUUCUCAGAAUUUGAACAUUUUAUUUUUAACAGAGACCUGGUUACAUACAAGUGAUACUAAGUUUACUUUCUGAGUUGCUACCGUAUAACUGUGUUUUUAAUUCCCCGCGGGUCUCUGGUGGUUUGAACAAUAUUUUAAAAUGAGCUUGAAUUGUCGGACACUGCACACUACACAUUAUGCUAGUUUUGAGUUGUUUCAGUUGAACUCCUCAAUACUCUGUGCUGUGGUCUAUCGUCUAUCGUAAAAGUUUAGUAAUGGGGGACUUAAUUCACUUGAAAGUUCAUCUGUGUGUGUUAUGUAUGUAUUAUUUAUCGGUUUUUUUAAGAAGGCUUUGACUUCAAAUCAUUCUGUAAUGCCAGCAUAUGAGGAUUAAGAUUGCUAUAUUAUUCUCUCUAUUCUGCAUUUCACCUCUGUUGUAAUUUAUUUCUAAUAAACCUGACAUUGUAUAUUAAUUAUUGUGGUGACCGUAAGUAAUCAGGUGACGUUCAGCACCAUGUUCAGCAGCAUCAGUGCCACCCUGUGAUGUUCAGGACCAGGGAUAGCUCCUCCAACACAGGUGUGCACAGUUUCUCCUCUGACAGAGAGCCUCAGCUGCAUCUCGUUUAACUCUGCGUGGAGGACACUUGGUACACAGCAACCUACAAAGGGCUCCAACAUAACGAGAAAACCAGACAGAGAUUAUAGAAAAGCACUGAGCACUGUGAAUGUACUUUUGUGUAAUGUACUCCGUACCAUCCUGACCACUGUACUAAAUAAAGAUAAAUCUACCCUAACUUGAAGAUCUAAAUAACUCUAUAAUUGAUAUGCUAAAUAGAUGCUAUAAUAGUCUAUCCUGAUCGUUUUCAAUACUCGCAAAUCCAACUCCUGACUCACUACAGUGAUUUUGACGGAACAAGAUGGUUUUAUACUGCCAAGAGCGCGGUAGCUUGUACCAAGGGGUGUGGUGAGCUGGAAACUGCUUACGUCACCUGCCACCGCUUGCGUCACUUGCCACCGCAACAUCCAAUAGGAAAAAUCAACUGCAGUUGCCACCGUUCAACCUGAAGAGGGCAGCACUCAGACGUUUUUACACCAUAUAUUGUAGAAUUAAAACACUUUAUACUCAAAUGUCAAAAAAGUUACUCGAAACAAUGAGCAGCACUAAUAAAGCCCCAUUCUUAUAGAUCAUUAACUAAAAAAAGUUGGUUUAGGGUUUAGUUACUCUUUAAAAUAUAAACGUUAUGUUUAGUGCAAACAAGUAAUACAUUUGCAAUAUGAUUAUUGUUUUAACUGCAAUAAAAUAAUGUGUAGCUAGUUGAAAUUAAAUUCUUGCUGUAAAUAUAAAUAAAUAAAUGCUGUUUUUUCUAUGAUAAAAUAUCAAUGGGUAUUAUAAAUGAUUAAGCCUUCAUAUGUUAACAUAGAUUUAUAAAAUGGAAAGCAACCAGAGGUCAAAAACGCGAAAAGGCGAAAUGUAAAAAAGGACAAGUAAUAAGAUAAAUAUUCAUAUUUAACACUGUAAAGAAAACAUUCUGAUUGGAGCAUGUAAAUUACCAGUUUGGUAAGUACGUUUUAAAAACGUUGGAAGGAGAUAUACGAACGUGAUAAAAACGUUUAUAAAACGUUGUGAUAAAAACUAAUUUAUAAUGUCAAAAAAAAAAAAAAAAAAAAAAAAAAAGAAACGAAAAAAACCCCCAGACAUUUUGAAGCUGAGGUCGAGGAUUGUAUUUAUUUUAAACUAAAUUAUGUAUUGGUUGAAUUUUUUAUUCUAUAUGUGUAUGUGUUCAAGACACAUCCAUUGAAGUUAAUUGUAAUUAAUCUAUCUCUCCCUGUGUUAUAAAUUAAUUUAUUAAACAUUUGAUUUUUAAAUUAAAGUCAAAACAACUGAAAAACGAGACUUUGCCUGCUUUAUCUUAACUGUUGAAUAAUUGUUGAAAAAAAACGUUAUCAUGACAUUUUCACAACGUGAAAAAAAAAAAAAAAAACGUUUUUACACCGUUGUUGUAUUUGUUGGGUAAUAACGUCUUUUAUCGAGCAUGAGGAGGUGAAUGGUGCUUCUCAAACAGAAAGAUGCAUCCUGAAAUUCAGAUGAUCAGUACAGACUCGUUUUCUUUCAGCUUAUUUUCGUGAAUUUAAAAGCUUGCAUCCUUCCGUUUGAGAGACGCCCAGAGAUAAGCUUCGACUCUUGAUUCCAAACGGCCCGGAAUUCCCCACAUUCCCACAUUUCCCGACUGCAGCGAGGACACAGCGCAGACAGCAAGAGAGAAGUAGCUCGUUCGAUUUGAUCCACUUUAUGUCCUAGAAAACAUUUAUACAGGGUACGUCGAUCAGCUGCUCGAAGAUCUCACCUUUGGAGAAGACUGUUGAUUUGACACUAAAAAUAUCCUCUCGCUGGCUCUGGGGUCACUGAGGAUGAAGAGACCACAGCAACACCCGGCUCAGAUGAGACAGUAAGGGCAGGUGGAGUGAUGGAGCACCUCAUCUGUGUCACUGGACCAUUUCUCCAUCC